AGCAAAAACAACAUGUCCUUGACUGAAGGACAGUACCUAAUAGGCCCCCAGUGAGGCAAGCAGUCAGGAGUUAGAUAUUCACCUGAAACAGGAUCCAUCUGACAAGAAACGGACUUUCCCCAUGCACUGCCGACGUGUGCAAAAUCUUAUCUGAGAUUACCCAGUUUUCUCGUUUUGUCCAAUUUUCCUCUUUCUCUUUCUCUCUCUUCUCUAUAUAAACUCUCACUUUACUCCACUGGGCUGCUAACUCCCUUAAAGAAGAGAUCCCUGGGGUGAGUUACCCCAAGUGACCCCAAAUAAAGGCCCAUGCUCGAUCCAGAGAUUGUCUGAGCUUGAAUUCUUUCGAAAUGACCCCCCAACACAAAGGCAGUACCUCAACAUUUUGGUGGCCUGGAUGGAAAAGUCUUCCACCUCCAACUCAAGAAGUCCCGGAUUCAGCAUCUAGGCUACCAGCCUUUGACCUGACUCAGAGCCCUCAACCCUGGAUGUAGCUGGCAAUGAGUUCCAAAGCCCUUCCCCCUCCUCUCAGGUACAUCCCCUUGUCAGCGGGAAGCAGUAAUGGGAAGGUGAGAUCUUCACCUUCUUUCCAAAAGAUUUCCUCCAAUAAAAGACUUGCAUGAACUGAUGCUACAUAAGUGAACAGAACCAACAGAACAUUAGGCACAGUAACAAGAUUAUAUGAUGAUCAACAAUGAUGAACUCAACUCUUCCCAAUAAUGAGGUGAUUCAAGGCAAUUCCACUAUACUUGUGAUGGAUCUGCCAUGAGAGAGAAUUAUGGAGACUAAAUGUGGAUCAAAGCAUGGUAUUUUUAUCUUUUCGUAGAUGUUGUUUAUUUGUUUGUUUGUUUUUUUCUUUCACAUGUUUUUUUCACUUUUCCUCUGAUUUUUCUUGCACAACAUGGUAAAUAUGAACAUAUAUUUAAUGGAAUUAUACAUGUUUAAGCUAUUGGUUGAUUGCUAUCAAUCAACUGCUGGGGAGGGAGGGAAGAAAAUUUGAAACAAGGUUUUUCAACGGUGACUCCUAAAACUAUCUUUGUAUAUAUUUUGGGAAAAAAAUAAAAUAUUGUCAAAAAGCAAAAAAAAAAAAAAAAUCCCAAUAAAUAAUAAAAGAGGGAAUAUGAGGGAAUAUGAUGGCCUUGGCUUUAGCCCUUGCCCUGUCCUUGUCCAAAUUUUCCUGUGGAAAAUUUGCCCAAUAACAAAGGCUGUUUGGAGGGACUUGAGGAAUCCAUAACUAACCAUGUUUACAAUCCUAGUUCUAUGAAAAAUGUAGCAUGACCCAAAUAUCCUGAACCUGGCUGGGCGGACAACUGCAUUCUGUCUUUCUGUUCCCUAUGGUUAACUAGGAACUAACUCAGUCUGUGACAGAUGACCCCAAAACAGAAAUAUGGGACCCUUUGCCUAGUUUGCUGCUGAUCCCUUAAGGACUAAAUCCACCUGUUGUUUUCAUUAAAAUCUGCCUUGACUAAG